rnacentral:tRNA from 1 species
GCGGAUGUGCCGGAGUGGUCAAACGGGACAGACUCAAGAUCUGUUGGCUUAUGCCUACGAAGGUUCAAAUCCUUUCAUCCGCA